GACAAAGGGGAUAAGCGCUGGAAACGGCGUCUAAUACUGGAUACGAGUAGCGACCGCAUGGUCAGCUACUGGAAAGAUUUAUUGGUUGGGGAUGGGCUCGCGGCCUAUCAGCUUGUUGGUGAGGUAAUGGCUCACCAAGGCGUCGACGGGUAGCCGGCCUGAGAGGGUGACCGGCCACACUGGGACUGAGACACGGCCCAGACUCCUACGGGAGGCAGCAGUGGGGAAUAUUGCACAAUGGGCGCAAGCCUGAUGCAGCAACGCCGCGUGAGGGAUGACGGCCUUCGGGUUGUAAACCUCUUUUAGCAGGGAAGAAGCGAAAGUGACGGUACCUGCAGAAAAAGCGCCGGCUAACUACGUGCCAGCAGCCGCGGUAAUACGUAGGGCGCAAGCGUUAUCCGGAAUUAUUGGGCGUAAAGAGCUCGUAGGCGGUUUGUCGCGUCUGCUGUGAAAUCCGGAGGCUCAACCUCCGGCCUGCAGUGGGUACGGGCAGACUAGAGUGCGGUAGGGGAGAUUGGAAUUCCUGGUGUAGCGGUGGAAUGCGCAGAUAUCAGGAGGAACACCGAUGGCGAAGGCAGAUCUCUGGGCCGUAACUGACGCUGAGGAGCGAAAGGGUGGGGAGCAAACAGGCUUAGAUACCCUGGUAGUCCACCCCGUAAACGUUGGGAACUAGUUGUGGGGUCCAUUCCACGGAUUCCGUGACGCAGCUAACGCAUUAAGUUCCCCGCCUGGGGAGUACGGCCGCAAGGCUAAAACUCAAAGGAAUUGACGGGGACCCGCACAAGCGGCGGAGCAUGCGGAUUAAUUCGAUGCAACGCGAAGAACCUUACCAAGGCUUGACAUAUACGAGAACGGGCCAGAAAUGGUCACUCUUUGGACCUCGUAAACAGGUGG
rnacentral:rRNA from 1 species